rnacentral:lncRNA from 1 species
CAGGCAUGAGCCACCAUGCCUGGCCAGAUACAGAUAUAUUUUUAAGGAAAAAUACUGGAAGAGUAAUCAGCAAACGUUAAAAAUAGCCCUGUAGGGCAGAUGAAGCCACCUACACACCACCUCCCAGCCUUUGCCCUGACCGUUCCUUUGCCUUGAAUGGCAAUCUCUUCUCUGCCUCUGCAAAUUAUAACCUGCCGAGGAAACAUCCCGCUCCUUCUGGGCUCUUGCAGACCUCACGAACCAGCUAUCUCUGCCGUGGGAAGAUGCUCUCUGGACCGCCUGACAUUGCCACUAAUGACCGAGGACCCCAGCUGGAUCUGAAAUAUCCAUCUCCUCUCACCCCUCAGAGCCACCGCAAGCUUGGACUGUGACCUGCUGGGUUCCAGAGAGGGCAAGUCUUCCUCCAGUAGAAGUCCGUGGCUCCAUGUCAGUGGUUCUAAGAGGCUUCUUCCAAAGGCUACAUUUCUUCUCAUAACUAUCCCAGUGCGGGCUCUCUAGGCCUGCCUAUUAUAUAUAAAUACACUUAACUUUUAUGGGGGUAUGCAGUGCUCUCGGCAUAAACCAUCUCCUCUGUCCCAAAGGACUAGGGGAAGGGCUGGAACAUGGAGCAUGUGCACAUGUGACAACACCAGGACAGAUUCUGAGACCCAGAUGAUUGGAACCUACACCACAAGGGAGCUCACAUUCCACUGGGAGACAACGGACACUCAGUGAAUCUUAAACAUCAAGCCGCAGAGGAGAAGUGCUGUGAAGAAAGUGAACCAAGGUGGUAUGUGCCAACCAGUGAGGGUGGCCUGGCCAAGGCUGUCAGGGAAGGCUUCCCUGAGCGGGUGCCUAGAGGGAGCCAGGCAGCCAGGCAGUGGUGGGAGGUGGGUGGGGAGAACCUUCCAGGCAGGAGGAGAAGAGCAAGGGCUGAGUCCCUAGGGCAGGAGGGUGUUUGCUAAGCUGAAGGGACAGGGAGGAGUCAGUGUGGCUGCAGCUUGGAGAGUGAGUGAGAAGGCACUGACCUAAGCAAAGCAGGGGGCCAUUCAGUGCAGCUUGAGGGGAGGAUCCAGAACCCCUACCCACCAGCUCAUGGUCUGACCUUGCCCAGAUUCACUGCAAGGCCUGAGGCUGGUCCUGAAACCCAGAUCCUCCCCAGCGGGAUCUCUGCAAUGAGAAGGGCUGGCUGGACAAUGUUCACCAUCCCUUCCAGCUGCAGCCAAGUUGGGACAGCCCUGGGGGGUUUCUCUUGUCCACAUGCUAUGGAUACAAUGCUGGGGUGGAGGGGGCAGCCACCAUAUCUUCCCAUGCUGGGGUUGAGGGGUUCCCAGCUCCCCAGCACAGCCCUCAGCUUUCAGGGAGCUUGUCUACUCUUUCUGAGAAUCUGCUACCACUUUUUGCAGACCCCAAAUGUGAGUUCCAGCCACAUCAUUCCCCCCACUUCUCUCAUUCAAGAACCAUGUUCCUGAUACUGCCUUAUCCUUACACUAUUGUGCUGUUAUUUACUUCAGGGUCAGGAAUCGGAUUAGGACUUUUUCUUAAAUGAUCUUAUUUUAAAGGGAAACAUUGUACCAUUGCUAUGUAAUACUUGCCAUAAAUACAAAGUAACCAUGAAAUAAACAUUCUGCAAUAUCCAUGUUAUCAAAUUCUAGCUAGAUAGCAUCCUA